rnacentral:lncRNA from 1 species
UUAAAUAUGGUCUUUUUUGGGCGCGCGCGACAAUGUGAGGAGUGGGGUGGAGCGUGUGUGGUGUGUGGCUGCGGCCUGGGCAAGAGCCGCCGCGGACCAUGAGCUGAGUAAGUUCUGGAGGGAUCCUGCCUCUUGGAGCCUUCGCAGCCAGGCAGCUGUGAACUGUGAGCUAGAGUGAAGCAGAAAUCUAGGAAGAUGAGCUCCAAGAUGGUCAUAAGUGAACCAGGACUGAAUUGGGAUAUUUCCCCCAAAAAUGGCCUUAAGACAUUUUUCUCUCGAGAAAAUUAUAAAGAUCAUUCCAUGGCUCCAAGUUUAAAAGAACUACGUGUUUUAUCCAACAGGUAAUAUGUUUAUUUGGUUAUUUAUUUCCAUAUUUGAUGGUCGUUUUUCUGAUAGUUGAAGUUUUAUGUGUAUCUCUAGUAUUAAACAUUCAAAUUAUAGAAAUGUUUAAAGUAAAACAACUUUUAACACUGGUAUUUAUCUUUUCAGACCUUCAUUCCUUUCUCCACACAUGAACUGCAAAACAAUUUUAUAGUAUUUUAUAAUACUAUGCUAAACUAUCCCAAUAUUUUUAUAAUACUGUACCAAUAUAGUAUAAUACUAUGGAAACAUUUAUACCAAUAAAUGUUUUAGUAUGGUACCAAUAUUAUACUAAUAAUUGUUUAGUAUAGUACUAAGCAGUAUACUGUUUAUAACGUGUACACGCACACAUACAUAUACAGGUAUAUAAUACAAAAUGGGAUCAUACUAAAAAUAUACUAUAAAACUGUUUUGCAAUUAUCUGUCAUUUAAAGUGAUAUUUUGAAUAUCUUUUCAUGCCCCAGCAUUUAGUUCAAUCUUAAUGGUUGCAUAUUACCUCACUAUAUAGCCUAUAGAUGUACUUUUAAUUCAUUUAACUAGUCUUGUGUUGCAAAACGUUGUGUUCCCUUUUCUUCUUUUUUUUUGGUAAUUAAAAACAAUAUAUUGGUGAAUUUUUAUAGUUAUUUCUGUAAGAUAUACUCACAGAAAUUGAAUUGUUUGGUCAGACAAUAUGUACAGUUUAUAUUUUAAUAGAUAUUGCCAAAUUGCUAAAGGUUUUUUUCCUCUCUGAUAUUUAAUGACUAUUAAGUGAUAAUUUUUACUUCUUACUGCCAACUUGCCUGUAGUAGCUCUUCUUUGCUUUUUGAUCGACUAUUUCUACUCUGUUGUUGAUGAAUCCGGAAACCAAGUAAUUGAGUUUACUAGAAAAAUGUAUAAAUACACCAAAUGAGGAAUUAGGAAACUCCCCCAGGGAAGCUCAACAUUUACUUUCUUCGUUUCUCCUUUUACAGUGGAGGAAACGUAUCUCCCCAUCUUUUCCUGCUUUCUCAGUUAUCUUUUCUGUCCGUUGUCCCCUCUUACUCCUCUAUCUUUGUUCUUUCCCAUUUUCAGUCAUCUUGAUUACUUUUUCGUUUUUGUUUUGUUUUUGAAGAGACAUGGUCUUGCUGUGUUGCCCCGGUUGAUCUUGAACUCCUGGCUUCAAGUGAUUCUCCAACUUGGCCUCCCAAAGUGCUGGGGUUACAGCCAGGAGCCACUCUGCCUGGCCAACUUAAUCAGUAUUUGAACAUGCUCAAGUUUUCCUGUUUUAAAUAAUCCCUGGACUCCACAUAUUCUCCUAAUUACUUUCUUACCUUUUCUCUCAUUUAUACUUAGACUUCUUUAAAGACUUACAUAUGCUCACUGGGAAGAAAUAAGGAACAAAAAAGCUGUAAGACAUACAGAAAACAGUAGUAGUAAG